CACAAAACUCUAGAUUUUAGUUUUACUAAUUAAAUAGACAUCUGUAUUCGUCUAGAUUCAGAAUGUGAAGUGAAGAAGGUACAUCUUGUUUACAAGGUCAAGAUGAUUACUUUUGAAACAAAAAUAUACAUGGACCAUGCCACCAUGGCCUCUUCAACCAAGAAGAUUAAAUCAUAUAUAUAAUAGCAGAGUUUUCUCUCCUCUAAAAGUGUCCACGUCACUACAUCUUUUUAAUGUGGAGCCCACAUGUUUUUACUCGCCUUCACAUUUUUUUCUAUACGUGAAAUAGAUUUAGUGAUGUUUAUGGGGCCACGAUUUGGUCAAAAAGCCCAUGAGCCAAAGAACCAAAUAGACUUAGUGAUGUGUAUCGGGCCAAGAUUUAGUAAAAAACCUAUGAACCGAAAGGACCUAAGAAAACCCAGUUAAAACUGCAAACCCUUGAUUUCAUUUUCUCCUAUUCGAUCGACGCAAUUCAGAGGACGACGAAAGAGAAAAAGAGUGUUUCAGUCACUGCCCUGUUGAUGAACGAAUUUCAACAAAGUAUAUUUGUAAGUUCUUUGAUAAGGGAAAAACAUUCUCAUCGCGUUGAAGGUCGGGAGUUAGGUCGUUCUUGCGAUAAACAUAAGAGUUUAUUAGUUUUAUAGCUGCACCUUGUAAAAGGUUGUCUACGUACCCUUAGAAAAGGGAUCAAGCCAUACGUAGUUCAUAUUAUAAUAAGUGAGCUAGGUCAUCGUUGGAGGUAGGUCGUAUAUUGAGAUAGGCAGUUUAGAGAUGAGGUGGCAGGUUGGUGACGAGCUGGCAGCUAGGCGACGAGCUAGCAGAUGUGUGACGAGCUGGCAGGUAGGCGAAGAGCUGGACGAACUUAGUUACGAGGCGAACUGGUUGAUAGACAACGAGUUAGACGAACUGAGUAUUUGAGUGACGAGCUGGUAGCCAGGGGCCAAGCUAGACGAAAUGUAGUAGAGAGACGAGUCGGACAAAUCGAGUUCUGGUGAAAGUCUAGACGAGCUGGCAGACGAGAUAGGCGGACUGUGUAGUCAAUGGACGAACUGGCAGCUAGGCGAGGAGAUAGAUGAGUUGUGCACUUGAGGGACGAGCUGACGACUAGGUGAGAAUUGGACGAGCUGACAGCUAGGCGAGGAGAUGGUCGUUGAGUGAUGUAGAGCUUGAAGACGAGCUGAAGAACUUAAAGACGAGCUGGAUAGCUUAAAGACGAGCUGAGGAGCUUGAGGAGCUCGAGGACGAGCUGAGGAGCUUUAGGACAAGCUGAAAAGCUUGAGGACGAGCAGAGGAGCUUGAGAACGAGCUGAGCUUAAGGACGAGCUGAGGAGCUUGAGGACGAGCUGAUAAGCUUGAGGACGAGCAGAGGAGCUAGAGAACGAGCUGAGGAGCUUGAAGACGUUUUAAUAUGGAUUUCUUCCUCCUUUUUUCCUUGAGAUGCCUCUCUAUUUAUAGAAAAACUAAGCUGGUGAUAGGAUAAUGGACCAACUUUUAUGGGCUUUUUGGGCUUGAUGUUGAUUAGUUUAUUCUUGAUUUGGGCCGAGCUAAAAUGAGGGGUGCAAUCCAUCCCCCAACAUGCCCCAUGGAGCUUUCUGUAUUUUUCUUCCCCAGAAGCUCAAACAUCAACAGUUAUUCACUAAAAGGUACUUAAAUACAUGGCUUAAUUCCUACAAAAUUCUACUACUUGCAAUUAAAUUCAUACUUUAAAUAUCUCAAAUCGAAACUGUAACUGGAGAAAAGCAAAAACCUCCUAUAGAUCUUCCUUUAAACUACUAUAAAAUCAUCAUCUCCUAUACUAGGUACAUCAGGAAACGAUGAACGCGUGUUCAAAACCCUUAAUCUUGCUCCGUUGGUGAAGAAACCGUUAUCAUGCCGCAAACACCUUCUUAUUAUGAAGAAACGUCUUGCCAACAACAACCCGGAUGCUCACUACAUAAAAGGUAUAAUAUGGUACUUUAACCUUGAUCAUUGUGACGUUGGUCUCCACCAUAUUGGCAUAGCAGCUAACGGAGGCCAAAAAGAAGCAAUCUACAUGUAUGUCAUGCUAUUAUUAUGUAGAGGAAGGACUGAAGAGGGAAAAACCUAUAUGAGCCAAUUUGAAUGGGCUAAAGACACCACCAUGGCUGAAACGUGUUGGAAACAAAUCAAAACUUCACUAAAUGGGAUUAGAGUGGCGAGAAAAAGAUGCUACAUGAUAUCACUUCGCAACAUGAAACCCCCCGACGUGUGCCAUCCAAGAGAUUUGGACAACACAUGUGAGAAAUGUUUUUUCUACAAACAAAUGUUUAAGUUUAUUUUUAUGGUAUAACUUAAACAAAACAUCUAGAGAGUUGGAAACUGUUUUUAAAAAAUUUCCUAUAAUGUUUGAGGCAGUGAACUAUCACAAAAACUCAAAACAAAGUUAUUACUCUUAUUUCUUUUGCUUUAAUGUGUGUCUUUCCUUGCUGUUGUAAGGAAAUUUAUUUUUACAAUAAAAU
rnacentral:sRNA from 1 species